UCGGAUUGAGUUCGGUUCGAUUCUUCGGAUCUGGGUUUUUUUGCCCGGACCUAGAUAUAUAUAUAUUUGGGGUGGAUUUUGAAAUCUCGAUAUUGUAAAAAAUAAUUCGUAGUUUAAGUCACCAAGUUACCGUUAGAGCAAAUAAAAAAGAGAGAAAUAAUAGAAUUUAAUUCAUGUUACCGUUAGAGUAAAUUAAAAAAAAAAAGAGAAAAUAAUAGAAUUUAAUUCAUGACCGUUGGGGACAAGACGAUCAAAUCUCCAGCCUCGCCUAUAAAUAAAGACCUCCUCUCUUACAGAACCUUACACUUGUCUUCUUCCUCUCUUACAGAACCUUAUGUUUUUUUCUUUCUUAAAUAUAUUAUAUUUAUACUUUCCCUAAAUUAGGGGCUUCGGAAAACAGAGAUCAACAACGAAACUAAUCUAAGCUGUUCACUGGUCCGAACCACCGCGAAUCUUCCCGUCCAUCAUCACGGUUUGAGAGGAGGGCGGCUCAGAUGAAGAAGAAACAAUGGAAACCAUACAAACUCUCCGCCGUCGCCAACCCACCGCAAAUCUUCCCGUCCAGCAUCACGCUUGCUCUGAUCGUUCUUCACGCGGUUUAUCAGGUCUUCUCUUUUCUUAUUAUACAAACUUUGUUUUUCUUUCUGCCAAACAUGUGUUCUCUGUUUUGAAUUGAAAUAUUUUUUUUUUUUAAAAACAUGUUUUUAGGGAAAUUUUGUAUAACUUGAUUGAUCAAUGGAGAGUUAAGUGUGAAUUUGUGACAACAUUUGAACAGAACACCCAAUCUUUGUAUCGUUAGAGGUUGUAAAUGUUUAUUUGGUUUAACACUUAUGAUCACUAAAUUCUUCUAAUCAACCUAGAAACUAUAAAAUUUUCCUUUUUUAAAAAUAAGUUUUCAAGGUUUUGGGGAAAUUUUUUAUAGAGCUUGAUUGAUCACGGAAAGUUAGUGUAAAUUUGUGAAAUAAAUAGAGUGGGCUAUCCGAUCACUAUAUAUGAUGGUUAGAGGUAUUAUCCUUUCUCCAGUCAUUGUGUUUGUAAGCUGGUAGUAUCCCUUUAUUUGGUUUAACACUUAUGAUCACUAAUUUUUUCAUAAUUGAUUAAAGCUAUUAUAAAAAGUUUCCAUUGUUUUCAGUUCUUUCUUUUAUUUGCCUUUUCCUUUUUUAAAAAUAAGUUUUCAAGGUUUUGGGGAAAUUUUUUAUAGAGCUUAUUGAUCAUGGAAAGUUAGUGUAAAUUUGUGAAAUAAAUAGAGUGGGCUGGUAGUAUCCCUUUAUUUGGUUUAACACUUAUGAUCACUAAUUUUUUCAUAAUUGAUUAAAGCUAUUAUAAAAAGUUUCCCUUGUUUUCAGUUUUUUCUUUUAUUUGCUUUUUCCUUUUUUAAAAAUAAGUUUUCAAGGUUUUGGGGAAAUUUUUUAUAGAGCUUGAUUGAUCAUGGAAAGUUAGUGUAAAUUUGUGAAAUAAAUAGAGUGGGCUAUCCGAUCACUAUAUAUGAUGGUUAGAGGUAUUAUCCUUUCUCCAGUCAUUGUGUUUGUAAGCUGGUAGUAUCCCUUUAUUUGGUUUAACACUUAUGAUCACUAAUUUUUUCAUAAUUGAUUAAAGCUAUUAUAAAAAGUUUCCCUUGUUUUCAGUUCUUUCUUUGAUUUCUUUCUUUUAUAUAUUUGCCUUUUGUUUGUUCCAUAUGAUCGACUUGUCGUUUUGUUGUUUCAGGAUUCCGGUGGAUGCUUGCUUUGAUUGAUGAUGAUGGCUGUUUUGGUGUUUGGUCCUUCUCUGUUGGCGGUUUGUCAGUUCAGCAUAGCCGGACUUAGAAGAAGAAGCUGUAACUGGAACUUGAAGAAAUAGGAGGAGAGAGGUCCAUUGAAGAUUAAAACCAAGUGUUGAAAGCUUCUGGUGGCAAGAGAAGGUUUCAAGCUGAGUUGGAUUAGCCUUGGCACAUAAGUUGUUUGUUAUCAUCAUCUUCUUGAGCGAUUGGGAAAACAGAGAGAGAGAGAUUAGGAGAUUGAGAGAUUAGAGAGUAUAGAGGAACUGAUUGAGUUGUAAUUUGUGGUGAGGGAAAUGUCUUGUACAAGUUGUAACCUUACAAAUUUCCACACCAGAAACGUUAUGAGUUGUGUUUCUGGAGUGUUGAAGCCUAAGGGAGUGAGGUUUCACCUGAAAUGGAUAUAACUCAUUCAUGUAUUGUCACCAUUGUUUUUGAUGAUAAUGAUUUUUCAAAAGUCUCA